rnacentral:tRNA from 1 species
GGGGAUGUAGCUCAGUUGGGAGAGCGCCUGCUUUGCAAGCAGGGGGUCGCCGGUUCGAAUCCGGUCAUCUCCACCA